rnacentral:rRNA from 1 species
UACGGAGGAUGCAAGCGUUAUCCGGAAUUAUUGGGCGUAAAGCGUCCGCAGGUGGCUAUGUAAGUCUGCUGUUAAAGAGUGAGGCUCAACCUCAUAAGAGCAGUGGAAACUACUUGGCUAGAGUCCGGAAGAGGAGAGUGGAAUUCCUGGUGUAGCGGUGAAAUGCGCAGAUAUCAGGAAGAACACCGAUGGCGAAAGCAGCUCUCUGGGACGGUACUGACGCUGAGGCGCGAAAGCGUGGGGAGCGAACAGG